rnacentral:misc_RNA from 1 species
AAGUCGUAACAAGGUCUCCGUAGGUGAACCUGCGGAGGGAUCAUUAACACGUUUAUUUCACGUAAACGUUUUCCUACACAACUUUUUUUGGCAGUCUGUGAACGCGCAAAUUCUCAAAGUGGGCACGGGGGGGCCAUGGAAGGGAAUCGAAAAUUUUUGAUUCCGGCCAGUCUGCCAUCCCGCAUGUCCAUGACAGCGAAUUUGCUUUUUUUUUUUUCUAACCCCAAUCACACCGCAAUGCUAACACUCUGUUGGCAUUCGAAUUGACCAAACCAAAACCAUACUUGUUGAAUAAUUUCAUUUAUUCUCCAAGUGUUUAUCCAAACUAAAAGCACAACUCUUAGCAACGGAUAUCUUGGUUCUC